rnacentral:rRNA from 1 species
AUGAACGCUGGCGGCGUGCCUAAUACCUGCCAGUCGAGCGAACGGACGAGAAGCUUGCUUCUCUGAUGUUAGCGGCGGACGGGUGAGUAACACGUGGAUAACCUACCUAUAAGACUGGGAUAACUUCGGGAAACCGGAGCUAAUACCGGAUAAUAUUUUGAACCGCAUGGUUCAAAAGUGAAAGACGGUCUUGCUGUCACUUAUAGAUGGAUCCGCGCUGCAUUAGCUAGUUGGUAAGGUAACGGCUUACCAAGGCAACGAUGCAUAGCCGACCUGAGAGGGUGAUCGGCCACACUGGAACUGAGACACGGUCCAGACUCCUACGGGAGGCAGCAGUAGGGAAUCUUCCGCAAUGGGCGAAAGCCUGACGGAGCAACGCCGCGUGAGUGAUGAAGGUCUUCGGAUCGUAAAACUCUGUUAUUAGGGAAGAACAUAUGUGUAAGUAACUGUGCACAUCUUGACGGCACCUAAUCAGAAAGCCACGGCUAACUACGUG